AUCCAGUUGACGGGUCCAAAAUAGGACGAAAUGCGCAUCCUGGAU
rnacentral:hammerhead_ribozyme from 1 species